rnacentral:rRNA from 1 species
GACGAACGCUGGCGGCGUGCUUAACACAUGCAAGUCGAACGGAAAGGCCCUGCUUUUGUGGGGUGCUCGAGUGGCGAACGGGUGAGUAACACGUGAGUAACCUGCCCUUGACUUUGGGAUAACUUCAGGAAACUGGGGCUAAUACCGGAUAGGAGCUCCUGCUGCAUGGUGGGGGUUGGAAAGUUUCGGCGGUUGGGGAUGGACUCGCGGCUUAUCAGCUUGUUGGUGGGGUAGUGGCUUACCAAGGCUUUGACGGGUAGCCGGCCUGAGAGGGUGACCGGCCACAUUGGGACUGAGAUACGGCCCAGACUCCUACGGGAGGCAGCAGUGGGGAAUAUUGCACAAUGGGCGGAAGCCUGAUGCAGCAACGCCGCGUGCGGGAUGACGGCCUCGGUGUAACCGACGUUUCGUCCUCGUUGACGAAGACGUGAGUGACGGUAA